rnacentral:rRNA from 1 species
CUCCUUCUGAAGAGGAUAGAAGGUAGGCCCUGCCCAAUGCUUAACUGUUAAUGGCCGCAGUACUUUGACUGUGCUAAGGUAGCAUAAUGGUUUGGCUCUUAAUUGGAGUCUGGAAUGAAAGGGUUGACGUGUUCUCAGCUUUCUUUGGAGGAAGUUUGGAAGUUUGGCUUCAGGUUAAAACCCCUGAAUGUGUGGGAGGGACGAUAAGACCCUAUAGAUCUAUAUCCCUCUCCUCAAAAAUAGAGUGAAAGGGAGGUUGUUUGGGAGGAAAUGAAAUAUUGUGAACAUUCGAGAAAAAGAAGAUUGAUUGAUCGAACUGACGAUCCCUGAAAAGGAGAAAAAGAAAAGUUACCUUAGGGAUAACAGCAUGAUCCUCCCUUCCAGUUCUUAUGGAAGGGGGGGGUUAUGACCUCGAUGUUGAAUUGAGUUGCUCCUCUUUACGCAAAAAGAAGAAGGGUUAGUCUGUUCGACUACUAAGAACU